rnacentral:rRNA from 1 species
GACGAACGCUGGCGGCGUGCUUAACACAUGCAAGUCGAACGGAAAGGCCUGCUUUCCCUUGUGGAUUGCGGGUACUCGCGUGGCGAACGGGUGAGUAACACGUGAGUGAUCUGCCCCCAACUUGGGUAUAAGCCUGGGACACUGGGUCUAAUUCCCGAUAGGACUGCAGGGUGGUGCCUGUGGUGGAUAACGAUUUUCUAGUGGAUGGGGAUGAGCUCGCGGCCUAUCAGCCUGUUGGUGGGGUAAUGGCCUACCAAGGCGGCGACGGGUAGCCGGCCUGAGAGGGUGGACGGCCAGAUAGGGACUGAGAUACGGCCCAGACUGCUACGGGAGGCAGCAGUGGGGAAUAUUGCACAGUGGGGGGAAGCCUGAAGCGGCGACGCGGCGUGGGGGAUGACGGCGUUUGGGUUGUGAACGCCUUUGGGUCGCGAGGAAGCCACCUGGUUGGAGGGGUGGUGACGGUAGUGGUAGAAGAAGCACCGGCUAACUACGUG